ACAGAGGGUGCGAGCGUUAAUCGGAAUUACUGGGCGUAAAGCGUGCGUAGACGGUUAUUUAAGUCGGAUGUGAAAGCCCCGGGCUCAACCUGGGAAUUGCAUUCGAGACUGAAUAGCUAGGGUACGGUAGAGGGAAGUGGAAUUUCCGGUGUAGCGGUGAAAUGCGUAGAUAUCGGAAGGAACAUCAGUGGCGAAAGCGGCAUACUGGACCACAACUGACGCUGAUGCGCGAAAGCUAGGGGAGCAAACAGGA
rnacentral:rRNA from 1 species